GAUGCUGGGCCUGCUCGCGCCAGAUCCAGCUGCCGUACCUGUGACGUGGAGGCACAGAGGAAGUGGCUAUUUCUAUGCUCAGCACUCAAAAUAGUGAGCACUAAGAAUGGUUUAUAGCCUACCACGC
ensembl:snoRNA